CCGUGCGGCCUCUGCCUGCGCUGGUUGGUUUUGUGGAGCUCCGUACACGUGCGGGGUGACUUGAAAAUAAGGCAUUUUUCACCUUCCUGAAGAGAAGAGAGUGACAGUGUGUAUGUGGAAUUGUCAGGUGCCUUCACCUGAAUGAGAAAUCUGUUUGCAUCAGGACUUCAGAUCUCUAACAGCCUGGUGUCACACAUAGCAAAGACAUUUACGUUCUGGUGAGAGACUUAAGAAGUAAAUAUGCAUUUUAUUCAUUAUUCCCCUUACUCUAUCCUUUUCCCAUGCUGCAAUGGAAACUGGAAUUAGACUGGCAAGGUUACUGGUCUGUGAGUAUCCAAGCUGCCAACUGUCAUAGAUGGCAGUAGAGAACACAAGUACAAUCUUACUUGUUCUGGCCAAGUUUCAGGUCCCAGGCCUUAUACCACCUUAAGAGGGAAAACUUUAAAGGUAAGUAGGGAACUAUAUUAAGUGCUAUCUAUCCCUGUUGCCUCUCAUUAUAUUAUCACUUCUUGCUAGUGACAGUGG
rnacentral:lncRNA from 1 species